CCCCGUUCGAGAACUUAUGAAAAUUAUCUGUAAGUUAAAACUGAGGUACAAUAGUUGUGGUUCUUACGAUCUUAAAACCACGAAAUGAACACACUCUGAUUGGCUUAUUUAUUUAUCAUUUUUGUUAUCUAUCAUACGAUUUGUUCUCGAUGUUAAAACCGGUAGUCAUGUCUGACUUAAAAGUCUCUUUGAUGACGGAAACUCAUUGCUAUAUUAUAUAGAAAGUCUCUAUAUAUUAUAGUAGUAUAUUGAUCACAGUAUACAUGCAGAUACACGCGAAAAUAAUUGUCCUGUCCCCGU
rnacentral:lncRNA from 1 species